ACAUAAGCACAACAUAAAUAGCGCGAGGACAUUCGGACAGGAUGUCCUUAAAGGACAUAGACACAGGACACUAGCUCAUCAAUCACUUUUUGACACAUACCGUCUACUACAUUCUCUCUCUUGUUUUUCUACAAGGUGAAAUGUAAGCCGUUUACAUCCGUCCAAUGUGUGUGUGUGUGUGUGCGUGCGUGCCCCGAGGGGACCUAUUUGCUGAGCAGACUGCAAAUUCCAGGGAGCACCACUCGAAUAUAAACUAAUCCUGCUGCUAAUGAAGAUGACCUUGACACCAGCUUAAGUAGUACAGAGCCUGUAGACCCAUUGGAUGAAAGAAUUCAGCCGGGAACAAGCUCAAGCGCAACAACAUCUGACUCGGAAACAAGCCAGGACAGCCAAAGGAGACUGCAGUGGGUGGUGAAGAAAGUGAUGAAGCCCCGAACCCAACACUUCAGGGGGAUUCAGGGGGAUAGACAGGGCACAGUAGCUUCAGUCAACCUGUAAAUUAGUACCACCCCUAGUACCAGCCUGCGUUCAAUGGUGGGAUCAAAGAAGAGGGGCUCCCGUCAGGCUGUAGUCCUAACAAAGCCAGGGAAAUGAGUCAACCUAGAUAUCCUGCAAUGUCCUGGCAGAUAGGAACAUCAUUGAGAUUAGUCCAAUGGCUCUAUUGAUCAAGGACAACAAUAUCUACUAGCUGCUAGCGUGAUUGUGCAAUCGACAAAACACAAAGGCCACAAUAAUUGCUACAAAACAUGACUCCAUUCAUUUUUGACCAGACAGCACGCUCAAUCAAUAAAAAAAUAUAUAAUAGACAUCGAUGACAGGCGCAUGGGCCUACAGAGCUCGUGGGGGGGGGGGGGGGGGGGGGGUCCAGCGUUCGAGUGGCUAUACUACAUUGUAGCCACAACAUUCUAAAUAAUGGGAAAACUCUAACAAAGGCUUUAAUGGGGUCAGUGAUAUAUUAACUUCCUGACUUUGGUAGGCGUAGAACGUCUCAGAGUAGGAGUGCUGAUUUUAGCUUUUAGAUUACAAUGAAUAAGAUUACAUGGACAGGGGGGACCUGAUCCUAGAUCAUCACUCACUUCUCUGACACACUUGAUACAUGUGCCCACAGAUACUGCCUCAAAAGCAGGACAUGUGAGCGGAGUUGAGCAGGUAGAAAUCUGACUCAUUGCUCAUGGCACUGCUCCGGUGCUCCGGUAUAAACCGCUCCCCAUUCGCUCCAUUCAUUAAAAUCACAAGUUAACCAACACCCAUCUGGACUUACUAAUUGUUUUUGAAUUAUUGAAACCCAAACCAUAUGGAUUUGAAUGAAAACAAUUUGAAUAAAUAUGAAAAGGGGAAUGUAAAAGAAGCAAACAUCAUUUCAAAUUGGCUACGUGUCUUAUUAAAACCGCAUAUAAACACUAAAUAGGUCAGGAGCCAGAAAGAAGGAACAAAAAUUAAUUAUUUAGGCUAUAUUAUUUCAAUUAUUUCAAGGCUAUAGCCUACAAAGAAAUACCUUGUGAAGCAUUUGCGAGUGCGACACGGUAGGCUGCUAGGGGCAUAAAGCCCUCAGUAUUUAAAUAACAUAUCAUUGUAUUAAAUCAUUAUAGUCUAUAAAUUGUGCAUAUAGGCUGUGACUUACUUAGAAUUAAAUGCACAUUAAACAAAAAAAUGACUUAGUGCCUUUGAAUUAAUUUUUAGAAGUCAUUUUUUGAAACACGAGUUUGGCCAGUCUGUGGCU
ensembl:lncRNA